rnacentral:rRNA from 1 species
GAUGAGCGCUGGCGGCGUGCCUAAUACAUGCAAGUCGAGCGAACGGACGAGAAGCUUGCUUCUCUGAUGUUAGCGGCGGACGGGUGAGUAACACGUGGAUAACCUACCUAUAAGACUGGGAUAACUUCGGGAAACCGGAGCUAAUACCGGAUAAUAUUUUGAACCGCAUGGUUCAAAAGUGAAAGACGGUCUUGCUGUCACUUAUAGAUGGAUCCGCGCUGCAUUAGCUAGUUGGUAAGGUAACGGCUUACCAAGGCAACGAUGCAUAGCCGACCUGAGAGGGUGAUCGGCCACACUGGAACUGAGACACGGUCCAGACUCCUACGGGAGGCAGCAGUAGGGAAUCUUCCGCAAUGGGCGAAAGCCUGACGGAGCAACGCCGCGUGAGUGAUGAAGGUCUUCGGAUCGUAAAACUCUGUUAUUAGGGAAGAACAUAUGUGUAAGUAACUGUGUACAUCUUGACGGUACCUAAUCAGAAAGCCACGGCUAACUACGUG